CGUAGGGUGCGAGCGUUAAUCGGAAUUACUGGGCGUAAAGCGUGCGCAGGCGGUUUUGUAAGACAGGCGUGAAAUCCCCGGGCUCAACCUGGGAACUGCGCUUGUGACUGCAAGGCUAGAGUACGGCAGAGGGGGUGGAAUUCCACGUGUAGCAGUGAAAUGCGUAGAGAUGUGGAGGAACACCAAUGGCGAAGGCAGCCCCCUGGGUCGACACUGACGCUCAUGCACGAAAGCGUGGGUAGCAAACAGGAUUAGAUACCCUGGUAGUCCACGCCCUAAACGAUGUCAACUAGGUGUUGGGUGGGUAAAACCAUUUAGUACCGGAGCUAACGCGUGAAGUUGACCGCCUGGGGAGUACGGCCGCAAGGUUA
rnacentral:rRNA from 1 species